AGUCGCGCGUGAAGGACUUCGGUCCGAGUAAAGCGGCGCACGGGUGAGUAACGCGUGGAUGAUCUACCCAUGAGUUGGGAAUAACGGCUGGAAACGGUCGCUAAUACCGAAUACGCUCCGAUUUCAUCUUCGGGGGAAAGGUGGCCUCUGCUUGCAAGCUACUGCUCAUGGAUGAAUCCGCGUCCCAUUAGCUAGUUGGUGGGGUAACGGCCCACCAAGGCGACGAUGGGUAGCCGGUCUGAAAGGAUGACCGGCCACACUGGGACUGGAACACGGCCCACACUCCUACGGGAGGCAGCAGUGGGGAAUAUUGCGCAAUGGGCGAAAGCCUGACGCAUCGACGCCGCGUGAGGGAUGAAGGUCCUCGGAUCGUAAACCUCUGUCAGGAGGGAAGAACCGCCACGGUGCUAAUCAGCCGUGGUCUGACGGUACCUCCAAAGGAAGCACCGGCUAACUCCGUGCCAGCAGCCGCGGUAAUACGGAGGGUGCGAGCGUUAAUCGGAAUCACUGGGCGUAAAGCGCACGUAGGCUGCUUGGUAAGUCAGGGGUGAAAGCCCGCGGCUCAACCGCGGAAUUGCCUUUGAUACUGCCGAGCUAGAGUCCGGGAGAGGGUAGUGUAAUUCCAGGUGUGGAGUGAAAUCCGUAUAGAUCUGGAGGAACAUCAGUGGCGAAGGCGACUACCUGGACCGGUACUGACGCU
rnacentral:rRNA from 1 species